AUCAUCUGGGAUCUUGUAAAAUGCUGUUUCUGAUUCUGUGGGUCUGGGCGGGGUCUGAGAUUCUGCAGUUCUAACAAGCUCCCAGGUGAUGUCAAU
ensembl:miRNA